AACGAACGCUGGCGGCAGGCUUAACACAUGCAAGUCGAACGGGCGUAGCAAUACGUCAGUGGCAGACGGGUGAGUAACACGUGGGAACGUCCCCCUCGGUUCGGAAUAACUCAGGGAAACUUGAGCUAAUACCGGAUACGUCCGAGAGGAGAAAGAUUUAUCGCCGAGGGAUCGGCCCGCGUCUGAUUAGCUAGUUGGUGAGGUAAUGGCUCACCAAGGCGACGAUCAGUAGCUGGUCUGAGAGGAUGAUCAGCCACACUGGGACUGAGACACGGCCCAGACUCCUACGGGAGGCAGCAGUGGAGAAUAUUGGACAAUGGGCGCAAGCCUGAUCCAGCCAUGCCGCGUGAGUGAUGAAGGCCUUAGGGUUGUAAAGCUCUUUUGCCAGGGAAGAUAAUGACUGUACCUGGAGAAUAAGCCCCGGCUAACUUCGUGCCAGCAGCCGCCGUAACAC
rnacentral:rRNA from 1 species